CAUUUGUUCAUAUUGGGUAAUUAGUUGAAAAACAAUAAAAUUGAUUUUGAUUUAGAAAAGUGGAAUAUAUCAAUAUUGAUUUUCUGGUAGGGCAUUUAUAACUUUUGAGAUAUUAAUCACUUUCAUUUUCAAAUAUGUUUUUACUUGUAACAUUGGAACUUGGUAAUUGUCUCUCGGAAACACAAAAUUAAUGUUCUUUCCUCCUUGACUUCAUAUCCCCCUCCCAAAAAAUUAAAAAUAAAAUAAAUAUGAAAUAUAGUCUGAAAUCAGAGGCAGUGGACCUGAACCAUCUCUUGUGAAGCCACAAGGACAUAUUAAGGUGAUAUUAAUUGUAAUUGGAGUGGAAAAAACCAUGAGAAAAACCAUUUGUACAGAAAAAAUGGUUGGCAUGCCUUUUAACAGAUACUCACAUUUUUUGUGGGACGCGCUGAAUAAAAUAUUUUGAAAAAGAAAAAGUGGGACCCCCAAUUGUGAGAAUCUGUCAACCACCAUAUCAUCCAUUUUUCUGAAAAUGUAGCAUCUCUCAAAAACCAUUUGUACCCAGGAGUGUACACGUCUCUCACAUGUGAAGGGGCCCCACGCCCAAUUAAUGCUCCCAGUCGACCUCCCAUGUAAGGGGCGUAUACACCGGAAUGUACACCUCCGUGUACGUGUAGCCGAACCCAAUUGGAGUUCAUGUAAUAAUUUUUGUUCUUUAGAUUCAUUCGCUGUGUUUACUUUAUUUUUGGUGUUUUGGAUAAUUUCCCUAUUGUUCUUUUUAAUUUCUAGACUAGAGAAAGCAUAGCUCGGAGAAAGAGUCCUGCUUCAAUACCUGUGGCUAUUCUUGAUCUUCAAUAUGGUUCCACUUCAAAACAAGAGAGUGAGAAAAAGAAGAUAGAGCUUUCUUGUGUAGUAAAAACCAAAUCAUCACCGUUGCUUGCUGCCUUUACAGAGUUACAAAAUCAUUUGCAGGUCUUAUGGAGGAUGCUUUCGAAAAAGUUUGGAAGGAUUUUAUUACAACUCUGUGUAAUAGUUGACAACAUUGGUUUGCUUGUUGUAUCCAUGAUUGUUAUCGCUACCUCUUUGAUUGAAUUGAGUCGUCUAUUCAUUUUUCUCAUAUAAUGUUGUUAAUCCAUAUAAAUCCACGAGGCUCUUAUUGACUGUAAAUUAUGUCAACAGAAGGUUAUGUGCUUUUUGGAAUUACUUUAAGUGGGAUUCAUGAUGCUGGGGUUCUUGAAGCUUCGUUUCGACAGCAUUGGUUAAAAGAAGGAAUUUUUGUUGUUCUCUUCACUACCUUGGAUGUAUUUGCACAAUUGGCCAGCUGAAUACAAAUCGGUGAGUUCCUUUUAAUUUGAAAAAUGUGUGGAAGUUAAUUAUUGGAUGUCUUAAUUAUUAAGUUCAGCAUACUUAAUGAAUGUUAAAUCUUAUUGCCAUUUAAUAAGUAGAAUUUGUAAAUUGAUUGGUUGAAGUGGUUUGAGAUGCUUAUUAACCAUGUAAUAAGGAAUUCGUUAUCCAAGCUGGUGAAGUUGACAGGCCUGAAACUACUGAAGAUUGGACCUCAAGGGGAAAACAUAAUCAGGUUGAUACUAGGUAUGAUUUACCUCAAAUUUCCAUAAGUUUUUUUUAAGUUGUUUAGUGUUUAAUGUCUCAUCGCUAUUGAAAUGUACUCAAUUAAUCAUGCUUACUCAGCUUGAAGCAUGAAGCUUUUAUGCUUGGUACUUCUAGCAAAAUAGGAUGGAACUGGAAAUCUUUUCAUUUCAACAACUUCAAUUGCAGAUGUAAAUGAGAAAAUUAGUGCUUUUGGAUAAGUUUUCAAGGGAUUAGAAGUUGUACAAGUCAAACAUUUUUGCUUAUUUUCAAUGUUAUUAUGCAUACAAUUUGUGCUUUUCUUCAUUAAGAGAACUGGAGUAGGCCUCCUAGCCUGUAAGUCACCAUUUAUCUGUUUCUUAUCCUAGAAUACUCUUGAGAAGGAAAUAAAUACCCCUCAACAUAAAUUUGGACUCAGCUCCAUCAAUCAUUUCAGCUCUCCAUUCAGUUGAUUGUUAUGCAACUAAAUUCUUAGUAACUUCAAGGGACCACAAGUUUUGUUCUACGUUAUAAAUGGGGGCCUCUUUAGGUCCAGGUAAGACAUGCCCCAACUCAGCUGUCAUUUUCUUAAUUUUUACUUUACUCGUUGGCUUGUAAUCUCGUUUCUUAUCUUAUACACCCACAUACUCAUUUCGACAUACUCAUUUUUCGCAACAUUUUUCAUUUGGUCAUUAGCAACCACACUCUCAAUAUGAUUUCCUAGUACUUUGUAUCUGAUUCUAUAUAUUUUAUUGAGAACACAUGGUGAAUACAGUUCUGUUUCUUGGAUAUUGUCACAAAAAUGAAGUGGACUUACUAAGAAAUAAGAAAGAAAUGACAAAUUACUUUCCUCCGUGGUAAAGAUUAUUUCCAAAUCCUCUAUGAUAGUUGACAAGUUUAGCAAUAUUUAUAAAUGCUAGAAUUAUCAUUUUGCUAUUAUUUGAAAAACCUGUUUGAUAUAUGUAACCACAAUUUAUAUGCAAGUACUAAUAAUUUACCCAAAAAAUGAGUAUAUCAAUAGAUAUUUGACGAGUGCAUGUGUGUGUAUACAUCUGAAACACUUCUCAGCAUUUAGGCCUUUGCAAUCAUGUUUGAUAACUCCGCAAACACCACAUUUGCGAAGUUUUGUGUACUCAAUGCACAGUUCUUUGCAUCAAACACCACUGUUGUUCCUUAUGUUUUUGGAAAGAGUUAUAGGACUGUGGCCCAGGGCUUGUAGCAGUUGUGUUGAUUGUCAUUUCCCCUGGUUACAUCUCAAGGUUGGUUGCAAGUUCACAUGAUAAUGAGGGGUUUGCUAAAUUUGCGCCGUUGCUCAAUUUCUAUUUAUUUGUCAAGGCUGUGAAUACUGGUUCACUUGCUUGGGCUAUGGCCUCUGCUUUUGGGUAUUUCUUUAUCUUUUUAGCAUGGGGUGGUUAAGUUUUCAUAAUUAAUUUGAUCCCACCAUAUUUAAUGUUUCUGUUGAUUACUGGGAAGAGAUUGUAUGCAGCUUAUAAUUGCACUUAUAUUUUGGGGAUGUUGCUUGCAAUGCAAAUUCGUUUGUCGGUAUCCAACAUGUGCAGUCUGGAGAACAUAUGGCUGCAAUGGGAGUGUUUUUCUUGAGGCAGUUAACACUUUUUUGUUACCCCAUCUCCUAAGAAGAUCCCUUCUCCCUCUUUAGGUUGGAAAGCAUGAAUAAAGGCAUGUUGAAUUUGGAGAAGAAACAAUGGAAGAGAAGCAGGCAAAAGAAGUUUCAGUUGCUUACAAUAGCAAGCCUCGAGUACCCGAAGUCAUAGUUAUGUAGAUAUGAAAUUGUGCUCAUAUCCAACUAAUCAUGUUGUAUAUAUCUGCUUAUGUCUCAUAGAUCAUACAUAGAAAUUCCAAAAUAGCUCCAGAUUCAUUUGCUUCUAUAUUAAAAAUUCUUCGCUUGGCCACAUAAAUUACAGGUGCACAAUGCUGUUGCUGUGGCUAGAUUACUUAAUGCAAUAGUUUUUCUUUCGAAAAUUAUCUACAGCACUAUUUGGAUAAAUAGUGAGUGAAAUACUUCAUUUCGUACAAAAUGGGGCAUUAGAUUUAUAUGUAACAUUUUUUUUUUCAUUUGUUUAACGUACUCUUAAUUCUUCACAUCAAAUUCAAAUACAUUUUCUUUUACAUUUCUAAAGUGACCGUCUAUAUGUUAUUGAAAUUGUACAAAGUGCAUGCAUGGUUUAAAUUGCUUAUGGUCGAUAUGCCGUCAAUAGAUUACUUAAUCUCUUCCUCCAUUCUAAAUACACGAAAUUUAAUUUGAGUUUUCCUGUUAGGUUUCAAUUAGUAUUUAACCCUUCCAAUUAUGGAAUUAUCACUAGUAGAGAUUUUUUCCACAGUGUAUCUAUUAUUGUACUCCGAAAGAUAAAAAGUAAAGAUGAGACAAGUGGUAAUUUUCUUCUUUCUUCAUAUUCUUUUCAUGGUUCAUUAUUUACUUUAUGGGAAAAAUCAUGUGAAAAUUUAACUCAUCAAAUUCAAACUUACUUCUAAAUUCAAUCCUUAUUUUUCUUAUGCUUUCCGUGCAGGAUUUUAAUGAGUAUUCUAGUUGUCUAUUUCGAUAGCUACUAUUAAAAGGAAAUGUUAGAAUCUCAGGUAAUUGUGCACAUUAUUCCAUAUUUUUUACCUUAAAAGUGUCCACUAAACACUUCGCAAAUUCCAUUUUUAUUUCUCGCUAUUCUCAUUUACUGUUACUCUCGGACGUAUCCAUUUAAAUUGGAUGACCGAUUUGUUUGCCACUAAAUACAACCCAAGUAUUCUAUUGCAUUUGAUUUCACAAUGAUGCUCUACAAAUUUUAUUAUUUAGCUCGAGUAUGUAUGAAAUAGUUUAUGACAAGUUCAGGUUAAACUAUCACAAUUUAAGCCACGAACAUACAUACUUGACCAUGUUACUUUUUGGUUCAAUACUUAUCGCAUAAGUCAUACCUAUGAAUUACGAUGGUAGAAUACAAUGCAUCAUGGAAAGAAUUACUUGUAUUGCUCAGAAUGAUCUUCGAUUAUAAAGCCUUUUGUUAAGUGCACUAUAGAGGUUAUGACUUGCUCUUUGUAUCGUUAGUCACACUCUUGUUAAAAAUGGGCCUGCAAGCCUUAAGUGCAAAACCAAUUGUAAAGCAAAGAAGGUUAUUACUUAUUUAGAAUUAUUAGUCAAAUUCAUCAACAAGAAAGUAACAGAAGAGUCCAGUUUAUGGUUUUGUUGCAUUUCUUUCAUCAACUUAUUACUCAAGUGAAACUGCAUUUUGCUCUGUAAUUUCCCUUUAUGCAGUAAAAGCUCUUUUCUCAGUAAAGGAUUCGUAUGGAGGGAGAGAAAAUUGUUAGAUUUAUUUGAUAUAUUUUUUAUGUUAGCAUUCUACGAUCACCUAGAAGAUUGAGUGUCUGAAAUGAACAUUAUAUUCUAAAAAUGCUAUAUAACACUAUGGAGGAAUAACUUAUUGGUUUUCCAAGCCCGUCGACCACAUUAUUAAUUCUGCUACAAAUUCAAAUUAUAUGUCGGCCAGUCAGAUAUCAUUUCCUAUUGUUUUCUAAGGUCCAAAUGGUACUACUGCAGGUGUUGGGGCUCAACAUUCCCAGGUAUGAGGUUCGUUUCGUCUGUCAUUAUUUUCUUAACAAUAUCAUGCUUGAUGCUUCAGAUAAAGUCACUAUAAUCUUUUGUUAACAUCAACGAACUGUUCUCUUGUUUUUUCUUUCUCGUCUGGAAUGGUAAAAGGAGUGUGUAUGUCCACAAGGAUACUUUCUUUUGGUGGGAAAGUCAGCUCAGUUUUUAAAUUAUGAUAAAACUAUAAUACCCAAAAAAAAAAAUAUAGAUGGUGUACCUUGUGGACUAUUUUCACAAUCAUCCAUAUCUUUCCAUACUUGCUCUAUAAGAUUAAUAAAGAAAGUACUGGACCUGGUAGAAAACUUUGUUAAUGCUGUUGCUGUUGCUGUUGCUGUUGCUGCUGCUUUGGUUAAAGAAAAGCACAGUGGGAAGUGUAAUUAACUGGAGUCCAACUUUGUACAGAUUUAUGUAAAGUCAAUAAAGAGGUUCUUGAGAAUUUAGAUAGGUAAGUAGACAAUUGCUGUCUUUAUGUCCUAAAAUUAUUUAUAAGAAGCUAAAAUAUAGCGAAUUGAUGCCGACAAUUAAAUUGUAAGAUGAGAUUUCCUUAUAUUCUGUUCGAACAAUAUCGUUGUUUGGAAAAUAUGCUUCA